rnacentral:rRNA from 1 species
AAACACUUUAAAGUAUCAGAAUGUAAACGCGUCUAACGCAUCUAUAAUACAACUUUUAGCAACGGAUCUCUUGGCUCUCGCAUCGAUGAAGAACGCAGCGAAAUGCGAUAAGUAAUGUGAAUUGCAGAAUUCAGUGAAUCAUCG